GGGGAUCUAGCUCAGUGGUAGAGCGCUUGCCUAGCAAGCACAAGGCCCUGGGUUCGGUCCCCAGCUCCG
rfam:Rattus norvegicus chromosome 16, whole genome shotgun sequence.